UCUCAUAGGAUCAGUUUUAAACAAUUGAAAAGAAUGAUUCAAUUUCUAACCACCCUGGUUUGUGUUUUUAUCCUUUUCCGUGGUUAGUGGCCACCCAUCAAAGAAUUAUAUUGUUCUCUAUCCUAAAAAUGAGACUAUAAAGAUGAUCAUUAAUCACUCUUAUAAAUUCACUUGCAGC